rnacentral:rRNA from 1 species
GACGAACGCUGGCGGCGGGCUUAACACAUGCAAGUCGAACGGAAAGGCCCUGCUAUUGUGGGGUGCUCGAGUGGCGAACGGGUGAGUAACACGUGAGUAACCGGCCCUUGACUUUGGGAGAACUUCAGGAAACGGGGGCUAAGACCGUAUAGGAUCUCCUGCAGCGUGGUGGGGGGGGGAAAGUUUCGGCGGUUGGGGCUGGACUCGCGGCUGAUCGGCUUGCUGGUUGGGGAGUGGCUUACCAAGGCUGUGACGGGUAGCCGGCCGGAGAGGGUGACCGGCCACAUUGGGACUGCGAUACGGCCCAGAGUCCUACGGGAGGCAGCAGUGGGGAAUAUUGUCCAGUGGGCGGACGCCGGAUGCAGCGACGCCGCGUGCGGGAUGACGGCCUUCGGGUUGUAAACCGCUUUCGCCUGUGACGAAGCGUGAGUGACGGUAAUGGGUAAAGAAGCACCGGCUAACUACGUG